GGUACUGCGGGCUGCUCAGGGCCCUGGUGUUCCUCCCAGGCAGCAGGACCUUGGCUUCUGGUCUGAGUGAGGGGCGUGCUUCCUCUCCUGCUCAGAAUUGAAUACCGGCUGACCCCAGUGAUCACUCCAGCUCUUUGAAGCUAACAUCAGCCCACCUGCUCCCUGUAAACAGUAAUACACGGACAGUACCUAUAGCAUAAACGUGAUAGGGGUUCCUUUGACGAAGACAUGACACGGGUUGGAAUGUUCAUCUCUUCAUGAUGGUGUGCCAGGAUGCAUAAAUGGUACCAUGUGAUGAGAAAGAAGUGGCUUUGAAAGAAGCAGCCAUCAGAAGAGACCAAGAAGACAGAGGAAAGGACUCUGAGGGGAACGUACAUGCUCCUUCUAUCACCACCUUUCCCUUGGGGUGUGCGUGUGUGUGUGUGUGUGUGUGUGUGUAUGUGUGUGUAGCUUGUGUGUGUGUGCACUUGCCUGUGGUAGCUUGUGUGUGUGUGUGCACUUGCCUGUGGUAGCUUGUGUGUGUGUGUAUACUUGCUUGUGGUAGCUUUGUGUGUGUGUGUGUAUGUGUGUAUACUUGCCUGUGGUAGCUUGUGUGUGUGUGUGUGUGUGCACUUGCCUGUGGUAGCUUGUGUGUGUGUGUGUGUGUAUGUGUGUGUGUGUGUGUGUGCACUUGCCUGUGGUAGCUUGUGUGUGUGUGUGUGUGUGUGUGCACUUGCCUGUGGUAGCUUGUGUGUGUGUGUGUGUGUGUGCACUUGCCUGUGGUAGUUUGUAAAUAUCAGAGGCUGAGAGGCUGAUUUCAGGAUAUCCUCUUUAAUCCUCUCUCAAACCUUUUUGUUGUUAUUUUGUUUGUUUGUUUGUUUGUUUGUUUGUGGGUAGUUUGUUUUGUUUUUUCAAGACGGUGAUUUUCUGUGUAGCCCUGGCUGUUCUGGACACUCAAAGACCUGCCUGUCUCUGCCUCCCAAGGGCUGGGAUUAAAGGAUUUAAAUCUCUUGAUUUUAUCUUUUGGAGUACA
rnacentral:lncRNA from 1 species